UACGGGAGGCAGCAGUGGGAAUAUUGCACAAUGGGCGCAAGCCUGAUGCAGCCAUGCCGCGUGUAUGAAGAAGGCCUUCGGGUUGUAAAGUACUUUCAGUCGUGAGGAAGGUGUUAAGGUUAAUAACCUUAGCAAUUGACGUUAGCGACAGAAGAAGCACCGGCUAACUCCGUGCCAGCAGCCGCGGUAAUACGGAGGGUGCGAGCGUUAAUCGGAAUUACUGGGCGUAAAGGGCACGCAGGCGGUUAAUUAAGUUGGAUGUGAAAUCCCCGGGCUUAACCUGGGAAUGGCAUUCAAGCUGGUUAGCUAGAGUCUUGUAGAGGGGGUAGAAUUCCAUGUGUAGCGGUGAAAUGCGUAGAGAUGUGGAGGAAUACCGGUGGCGAAGGCGGCCCCUGGACAAAGACUGACGCUCAUGUGC
rnacentral:rRNA from 1 species